rnacentral:rRNA from 1 species
CACGGGGGNCNUACGGGAGGCAGCAGUGGGGAAUCUUNGACAAUGGGCGCAAGCCUGAUCCAGCCAUGCCGCGUGAGUGAUGAAGGCCUUAGGGUNGUAAAGCUCUUUCGCCAGAGAUGAUAAUGACAGUAUCUGGUAAAGAAACCCCGGCUAACUCCGUGCCAGCANCCGCGGUAAUACGGAGGGGGUUAGCGUUGUUUGGAAUUACUGGGCGUAAAGCGUACGUAGGCGGAUUAGUCAGUNAGAGGUGAAAUCCCNGGGCUCAACCCUGGAACUGCCUUNGANACUGCUAGUCUUGAGUUCGAGAGAGGUGAGUGGAAUUCCAAGUGUAGAGGUGAAAUUCGUAGAUAUUUGGAGGAACACCAGUGGCGAAGGCGGCUCACUGGCUCGAUACUGACCCUGAGGUAUCGAAAGUGUGGGGAGCAAACCGGAUUAGAUAUCCCUGGUAGUCCACCCCCGUAAACGAUGAAUGCCAGUCGUCGGGCAGUAUACUGUUCGGUGACACACCUAACGNAUUAAGCAUCCGCCUGGA